rnacentral:pre_miRNA from 10 species
GCUGCUGUUGGGAGACCCUGGUCUGCACUCUAUCUGUAUUCUUACUGAAGGGAGUGCAGGGCAGGGUUUCCCAUACAGAGGGC